rnacentral:rRNA from 1 species
CGUAGGGGCAAGCGUUAUCCGGAUUUACUGGGUGUAAAGGGAGCGCAGACGGAACUGCAAGUCUGAUGUGAAAGCCCGGGGCUCAACCGCGGGACUGCAUCGGAUACUGUGGAUCUGGAGUGCCGGAGGGGCAAGCGGAAUUCCUGGUGUAGCGGUGAAAUGCGUAGAUAUCAGGAGGAACACCGGCGGCGAAGGCGGCUUGCUGGACGGCAACUGACGUUGAGGCUCGAAAGCGUGGGGAGCAAACAGGAUUAGAUACCCU